UACAGAGGGUGCGAGCGUUGUCCGGAAUCACUGGGCGUAAAGGGCGCGUAGGCGGCCCGGUAAGGUUGCGGUGAAAGCCCGGGGCUCAAACCCCGGGUCGGCCCGUGGCCUGAACUGCUGGGCUGGAGCACAGUAGAGGCGGGUGGAAUUCCGGGUGUAGCGGUGGAAUGCGUAGAGAUCCGGAAGAACGACCGGUGGCGAAGGCGGUCGAGCUGGGCAGUACGCUGGACGCUGAGGCGCGACAGCGUGGGGAGCAACAGG
rnacentral:rRNA from 1 species